rnacentral:rRNA from 1 species
CCUCAGUUCGGAUUGGAGUCUGCAACUCGACUCCACUGAAGCUGGAUUCGCUAGUAAUCGCGCAUCAGCCAUGGCGCGGUGAAUACGUUCCCGGGCCUUGUACACACCGCCCGUCAAGCCAUGGGAGUCGGGAGUGCCUGAAGUUCGUGACCGUCACAGGAGCGACCUAAGGCAAGACCGAUGACUGGGGCUAAGUCGUAACAAGGUAGC